AUCCCGGCUAGCAGCGUCGGAGCUGGCAGGGCUUCUGCAAGUCCUCUGCUCCCACCCUGCUCCCAUUUCACAGACAAGGAAACAAAGGCCCAAAGAAGAGUUCCGCCCGGGGCGGAACGUGGCAGGGCUCGCAACAGAACCCAGUCUCCGGAGAUUCCUCUCCUCUGCACCACUUGGAGGCUCCACGGAGAGGCAGCGGUGCGCGGGGCGACGGGGAGCUGCCAGAGAAGUCGGUGGUGGGCAUGAGUGGGUGAGACGGGCCCACUGUGGUUUCUGGAUACAACGUUACAUUUAGCAGUGGAUUAUUUUCAAAUGCCGAUGGUCAAGUCGCAAUGCCAGGAACGACUUCUCGGCCUGCCAGACUCUGAGACCGGUGUCAAGUCCUCAACAAGGCCUAAGGGCCCAUGCCUGCUUCUGCAGCCUCAUCUCACCCUGCUCCGAGGCUUUGGCAGUGGUGAGCCAUGGAAGGUUUCUGAACAGAGUACUUAUUGGGAGCUGUCAGAGCUGUGCUUCAGGAGAUGAAUCUGGCAACAACGUGGAAAAAAUGGGGGCUUGAGAAGGCCUAAGCAACUUGCUCAACGUCGUGUGGUAUAAGAGGCAGAGAUGAACUCUGAUGUCAGGAUUGUACGACCCAAGGUCUGUACUGGAUCCACUGCUUGGAGACAGAAACAGAAAAAGUUUGCCUACUCUGCUCUAGAAGCCUGUCUACACCUCGCUCGGUUUCCUCAUCUAUGAAACACGAGGCCUGAGUUAGAUGCCGCAAAGGGGCGAAGCGCUGUGUUGGAUGCAUGCCUUGCGUUAGGCAUUGUACUAGGUGCUGCAGUAGGAAGUAGAGAUCUUUGUCCAGAGAGGGAGGAAGACAUGAUGAAUCACAAGUGGAUGAGCCAGAGGAUUCUCAGUAUGUCCCAGGUUCUCUGGGCUGCCCAGGGGAGGAAACAAUGGAGAGGAUCUAUGGAGGUCAGAAGGCAGCCACGUCCUGAAGACCAGGUGCACACACAUACGCAGGACCAGCCUCGAAGCCCACUUUUUCCACCAUGCCCCACUCACCAGUAUGUGCUCUAGACCCUAUAUCAA